AUUGAACGCUGGCGGCAUGCUUUACACAUGCAAGUCGAACGGCAGCGCGGGCUUCGGCCUGGCGGCGAGUGGCGAACGGGUGAGUAAUGCAUUGGAACGUGCCCAGUAGUUGGGGAUAGCCCGGCGAAAGCCGGAUUAAUACCGCAUACGACCUUACGGUGAAAGCGGGGGACCGAAAGGCCUCGCGCUAUUGGAGCGGCCGAUGUCGGAUUAGCUAGUUGGUGGGGUAAAGGCUUACCAAGGCGACGAUCCGUAGCUGGUCUGAGAGGACGACCAGCCACACUGGGACUGAGACACGGCCCAGACUCCUACGGGAGGCAGCAGUGGGGAAUUUUGGACAAUGGGGGCAACCCUGAUCCAGCCAUGCCGCGUGCGGGAAGAAGGCCUUCGGGUUGUAAACCGCUUUUGUUCGGGAAGAAAUCCUCUGGGCUAAUACCCCGGGGGGAUGACGGUACCGGAAGAAUAAGCACCGGCUAACUACGUG
rnacentral:rRNA from 1 species